rnacentral:rRNA from 1 species
UACGAGGGGGGCAAGCGUUGUUCGGAAUUAUUGGGCGUAAAGGGCGCGUAGGCGGCGCCACAAGUCACUUGUGAAAACUCUGGGCUCAACUCAGAGCCUGCAAGCGAAACUGUGGUGCUGGAGUAUGGGAGAGGUGCGUGGAAUUCCCGGUGUAGCGGUGAAAUGCGUAGAUAUCCGUAGGAACAUCCGAGGCGAAGGCGGCUCGCUGGAUCACAACUGACGCUGAGGGACGAAAGCUAGGGGAGCAAACAGG